rnacentral:rRNA from 1 species
AUUGAACGCUGGCUGCAGGCCUAACACAUGCAAGUCGAACGAGUGGCGGACGGGUGAGUAAUGUAUGUGAAACUGCUUGAUGGAGGGGGAUAACUACUGGAAACGGUAGCUAAUACCGCACACCAUCAGAUGUGCCGAGAUGGGAUUAGUUUGUUGGUGGGGUAACGUCUCACAAAGGCGACGAUCCCUAGCUGGUCUGAGAGGAUGAACAGCCACACUGGAACUGAGACACGGUCCAGACUACUACGGGAGGCAGCAGUGGGGAAUAUUGGACAAUGGGCGCAAGCCUGAUCCAGCCAUGCCGCGUGUAUGAAGAAGGCAUUCGGUUUGUAAAGUACAUUCAGCGGGGAGGCGUUACCAGCAGAAUAAGCACCGGCUAACUCCGUGCCAGCAGCCGCGGUAAUAC